UCCCAGUUCGGAUUGUAGUCUGCAACCCGACUACAUGAAGCUGGAAUCGCUAGUAAUCGCGAAUCAGAAUGUCGCGGUGAAUACGUUCCCGGGUCUUGUACACACCGCCCGUCACACCAUGGGAGUCGGAAAUGCCCGAAGUCAGUGACCUAACCGAAAGGGAGGAGCUGCCGAAGGUGGAGCCGGUAACUGGGGUGAAGUCGUAACAAGGUAAC
rnacentral:rRNA from 1 species